rnacentral:rRNA from 1 species
UACAGAGGGGGCAAGCGUUGUUCGGAAUUACUGGGCGUAAAGGGCGCGUAGGCGGCCUCCUAAGUCAGACGUGAAAUCCCCCGGCUUAACCUGGGAACUGCGUCUGAUACUGGGAGGCUUGAGUAUGGGAGAGGGAUGUAGAAUUCCAGGUGUAGCGGUGAAAUGCGUAGAUAUCUGGAGGAAUACCGGUGGCGAAGGCGGCAUCCUGGACCAUUACUGACGCUGAGGCGCGAAAGCUAGGGGAGCAAACGGG